rnacentral:rRNA from 1 species
AUGAACGCUGGCGGCGUGCCUAAUACAUGCAAGUCGAGCGAGAAUCUGAUGAUCGAAGAUUCGUCUGAUUGAUUCAGAGGAAAGCGGCGGACGGGUGAGUAACGCGUAGGCAACCUGCCCUUAGCAGAGGGAUAGCCAUUGGAAACGAUGAUUAAAACCUCAUAAUGCUGCAGCAACACAUGUAGCUGCAGCCAAAGAUUUAUCGGCUGAGGAUGGGCCUGCGUCUGAUUAACUAGUUGGUGAGGUAACGGCCCACCAAGGUGACGAUCAGUAGCCGACCUGAGAGGGUGAUCGGCCACAUUGGAACUGAGACACGGUCCAAACUUCUACGGAAGGCAGCAGUAAGGAAUCUUGCACAAUGGGGGAAACCCUGAUGCCAGCAACGCCGCGUGAGUGAUGAAGGCCUUAGGGUUGUAAAGCUCUGAUCUGUGGGAAGAAGAAAGUGACGGUACCACAGGAGAAAGCCCCGGCUAAAUACGUGCCAGCCGCCGC